rnacentral:tRNA from 1 species
GCUCUUAUAGUUUAUUUAUAAUGUUAAAUUUGUAAUUUAAAGGAGACUAUUUCUAGUAGUCUGAGAGCU